AUUGAACGCUGGCGGAAUGCUUUACACAUGCAAGUCGAGCGGCAGCACGGGGGCAACCCUGGUGGCGAGCGGCGAACGGGUGAGUAAUACAUCGGAACAUGCCCAGUCGUGGGGGAUAACACUUCGAAAGAAGUGCUAAUACCGCAUACGUCCUGAGGGAGAAAGCGGGGGAUCGCAAGACCUCGCGCGAUUGGAGUGGCCGAUGUCAGAUUAGCUAGUUGGUGGGGUAAAGGCCUACCAAGGCAACGAUCUGUAGCUGGUCUGAGAGGAUGAUCAGCCACACUGGGACUGAGACACGGCCCAGACUCCUACGGGAGGCAGCAGUGGGGAAUUUUGGACAAUGGGGGCAACCCUGAUCCAGCCAUUCCGCGUGAGUGAAGAAGGCCUUCGGGUUGUAAAGUACGUCUUUCUAGUCAGGAACGAAACGGACGAGGUACUAAUAACUAGCUCGCUAAUAGACGGUACC
rnacentral:rRNA from 1 species